rnacentral:tRNA from 1 species
GGGCGCUUGGCGCAGUGGUAGCGCGCCCGCUUUGCAUGCGGAAGGUCGAGGGUUCAAACCCCUCAGCGUCCA